AACAAUUAAAACGAGAAAACUAACGGCCUUAUUUAUGUAAAAAAAAAAUGAACGAAACACAAAUAUGUAACACAUAAACAAACGACAAACACUGAAUUACAGGCUCCUGACUUGGGACAGGCACAUACAUAAAUAAUGUGGCGGGGUAAAACAUGUAAGCGGGAUCCCAACCCUCCCCUAACCUGGGACAGUGGUAUAACAGUACAGCAUUUAAACGAACUAUACAAAUCAGUUGAAAAAGGCUUAACUCAUCAGAUAGACAAAAAAUACAAGUGGACGUGGCCGGUUACGCUAGCUCAUUACGUUCUCAAUACGACCACACCAC
rnacentral:lncRNA from 1 species